UCCCCCAAGGAGCGUUGCAGCGGGCCGUCCACCGGCCCGUCAGGCUUGGGGCCGUCCCCCGUUCGCAACGACGCUCACCUGUC
rnacentral:ncRNA from 2 species